GACGAACGCUGGCGGCGUGCUUAACACAUGCAAGUCGAACGGAAAGGCCCUGCUUUUGUGGGGUGCUCGAGUGGCGAACGGGUGAGUAACACGUGAGUAACCUGCCCUUGACUUUGGGAUAACUUCAGGAAACUGGGGCUAAUACCGGAUAGGAGCUCCUGCUGCAUGGUGGGGGUUGGAAAGUUUCGGCGGUUGGGGAUGGACUCGCGGCUUAUCAGCUUGUUGGUGGGGUAGUGGCUUACCAAGGCUUUGACGGGUAGCCGGCCUGAGAGGGUGACCGGCCACAUUGGGACUGAGAUACGGCCCAGACUCCUACGGGAGGCAGGAGUGGGGAAUAUUGCACAAUGGGCGGAAGCCGGAUGCAGCAACGCCGCGUGCGGGAUGACGGCCUUCGGGUUGUAAACCGCUUUCGCCUGUGACGAAGCGUGAGUGACGGUAAUGGGUAAAGAAGCACCGGCUAACUACGUG
rnacentral:rRNA from 1 species